rnacentral:lncRNA from 1 species
AGCUUCCUCUCCAGCACCACAUCUGUCUGCAUGCCACCAUGCUCCCUGCUAUAAGAGUUCCUGUGGUCAUAGUGUCUCCUCACAGCAGAGGAGGAAGCCUCCUUCUUAAAAGUACCAGUCAGUAGGAAGAUUUGGCCCUAAAGUGAUUUCUCCUGCACAACAAAGUAGCUGUAAGAAGAAAUCCACCUCACCUCUUCGAAGAAUGAAUCUGACUGUAGGCUAAGCUACUAUAAGGUCCUUUGGGUAUAUAUUAUGGCUUCCAGCUUAGUGUUUUUGUGGGGUUCCUGAGUGUGUGAACCCGUGGGUCUCUGCAUCUGUUUCUGUUUAGAGCAACAACCCAAAGGGCAGGAGAGAGAGUUUGAUAUAUGGAAAUAAUCUUAGAAUUUCAGUCUUUGACAUAGCAACUUCCACACAGAAGAUUCAGAUGAAGGCUGAAUAAUGACACUGUUUAAAACAACAGAUAAGAAUGCUCCACAGUUGCUGGAGAACUUAAGAUGUUCCAAGACAGGUUUCCCUUUGGAAGUUUGUCCAGCAUUCUACAGUUGCUCCCUCCAGCCCCUUUAACUCUCUCACUCCACCAACUUCCACUUCCCUUUAAACAUAAGCCAAGAGCCUCUUCAACCACACAACUCCAUAGCACACACCAAAGCAGGAAGAGACAAUCGUCACAGCUGGAUGAUUUCCUGUGAUGGGAGCCACAUCAAAGACUCUCUAGAUGGUGCCACAUUUGAUCCUCAUGAGACUUUAUAAAUAGAUACACUGAUCUGCUUGUUUUCCUGAUGAAGAAGCUAAGUCUCUGAGAUUGUCGUCUUGUUUAAGGUGGUAGAAGACACCUACUAAUAAAACUGGCAUGUUACUU